ensembl:lncRNA
AUUAAUAGCACAGGUUUCAAAAUCUUUGCCUAUACCUUCACUCCCUGCACUUCAGUGUUUUCUGAUGGAAAUGUUGCAGGAUUUUCAGUUCUCCAAGCAUACUUCAAUUUAGGUUUUUUUUUUCUUUCUUUCUCUCUGGAGCCAUGACUGAAACAUUUCAGCUGGAGAUCCUGAUGACUGUAUCUGGGUUCAGUUGCUGUAUGCUUUAAAUUCUUCAGCUCCUGAGGGUACUAGAAGAGGCACCCAGCCUUUAAGCAGACUGUUUUAGUAGAGAAGCAAGUGCUGCUGUUUUACAUUUUGGUGGUGAACAUUGAAAUGACAGUGUCCAAUCUGUCCACAAAGCAGCCAUAGUCCACAGGACGGAGCAUCAACACUGCAGUAAUGAGGAAGUUUUCAAAGAAGCUGAGGUGAUCUGAAGCUCAAUGAAAAAACGUUAGUCAUACAUGAAAUGUUUUCUACCUGGAAACUUCAGAAUCAACAGGUUCUCCAAGAGAAGACACUGUACAUGGUAGGAUUUCAGAGGACAGCCUGAGCUCCCAGCCUCUAUAGGGAUCACCAACAUACAAAUCAGGUACAACACACUUCAGCGUGACACAGAACAGCUCAAUGCACUCUACUGCAAGCUAAAUAAGGAAACAGAAAUGACCCAUAAUUUCAUGCAAUGUGCCAUUGGUGGGAAAGAAAUUGGUUUUGGUAGUAGGCUUCAGAAUAAACUGGAUGCAGAAUGAUAUUUAAGAUCUUAUCUAUCAAGUCAUGGCUGCAGAGACAAGAAAAGCAUAGGCACUGCACGAGGGCUCUGUCACAGCCCAGCAGUUUUCCCUGGCUUACCCUGCUGAAGGAUGACCUUGCUCCAGGUCUCCUGCCUUCCCUGGGGUCUGCAUCUGCCAUCACAUUUCCCACAACCAUUCAUUCCCAAGAGAAGGAUAUGAGAUAUCAUAGCAAAGCUGCUGAAGCCUCUGAAAAACAGACACUGUACCAAAAGUUAAUAUGAUGUACUAAUGACUGUUUAAUACUAUCUAACAGAAAAUUGAGGUGAAACAGUCUGAUGAGGAAAGUAUUCUAUCUGCAUGGACAGAAAGAAAAGCAAUGCAAAUAUGAAAAGUAACAAGUGAACCUGGCUUACAUUUUGAUACUGCAUGCAAAUGUACGUAAGAACUUAAUUAAAUUAUUUGAACUGAGCAAAUAAUGUGAAGCAAAUAGCCAAUUUAAAUAUAGCCUUUUUCAUUUCAUAAAUUGCUCACAAGCUGCUUAAAAAUGUACUUAUAUUAUUUGCAAAUUAUAUAUUAGCAAAGAAUUCUACACUUCUCUCAUAAAGUAAUGCAGCUAAAACUACCAGUAUUUGAAAUAUCAGCUCUAUGGGAUGGCUGAGGCAGAUAUUUAAUAAACAACUCCUUAUAUGC